rnacentral:rRNA from 1 species
CCCUUAGAUGUUCUGGGCCGCACGCGCGCUACACUGUUUGAUUCAGCGAGUCUUAACCUUGACCGAAAGGUUUGGGUAAUCUUCUAAAGUCAAACGUGAUGGGGAUCGAUCAUUGCAAUUAUUGAUCGUGAACGAGGAAUUCCUAGUAAAUGCAAGUCAUCAGCUUGCGUUGAUUACGUCCCUGCCCUUUGUACACACCGCCCGUCGCUACUACCGAUUGAAUGGUUUAGUGAGAUCUCCGGAUUGGCUCUGUAGGUCCCGCAAGGGAUUUAUUAGUAGCCAAGAAGCUGCUCAAACUUGAUCAUUGAGAGGAAGUAAAAGUCGUAACA